rnacentral:tRNA from 1 species
GGGGCCGUGGUCUAGUGGUAUGACAUCUCGUUUGCAAUUUGCAACCGUUGAGUCGAGAAGAUCGGGGGUUCGAUCCCCUCCGGCUCCA